rfam:Candidatus Magasanikbacteria bacterium RIFCSPLOWO2_02_FTLL_44_11 rifcsplowo2_02_scaffold_7557, whole genome shotgun sequence.
GGGCAAGUGGCGGAAUUGGUAUGCGCGCAUGCCUUAGGAGCAUGUUCCUUCGGGAGUGAGGGUUCGAGUCCCUCCUUGCCCA